AAGAACACAGGCAUGGCUUUCAACUUUGGUUUCACCCCGGCCGCUUCCGCGGCUGUGGCUGCCUAAGUAAGCCACCGGCCCUUUACCAAGGGCCACGGCCCGUCCCGGUGGGGCCAGCAGGCCGGGCGGUCGCCGUCAUACACUGUGAGCUGCAGCAGCGGUACGCCGAUAGCGUUGCCUAAGUGAAUCGGCUAACCGGAGAAGCGUCUCGCGUCGAUCCGAGGCCCGCCGGUGAAUCUCUUGAAGGUCGACUAUGCUUGUAGACGUUUCAGGGCGAAUGUUGCGGACGCGGGUUCGAUUCCCGCCAUCUCCACCA
rnacentral:tmRNA from 1 species